AACGGCCGUACCAUGCUGAAUAUACCGGUUCUCGUUAGAUCACCGAAGUUAAGCAUCAUUGGGCGCGGUCAGUACUUGGGUGGGUGACCACCUGGGAACACCGCGUGCCGUU
rnacentral:rRNA from 1 species